UUCCGGCGGGUCCUAGCUCCCCCCGGUUGCUCUCUGCUCGUAUUGUUUUCGCGUUCGCCCACUCGGGAGGCGGGGAGGCAUCUCGAGAGCUCGGACCGAGAGGAGGGAGGCGAGGCAGCGGCGUCCAGGCGGCCGGCGCCGAAUGGAAGUGACAGUGUCCGGGCGUUGGCGCUCGGUCUUCCCGCGGCAGGAGGUCCGCGCUGACUCGCGGCGGUGGCGGCACUUGGUUGGUGGCCGUGUUCCAGGUGUCCACGUCGCUGGACGCGUGACCUGCAUCGCACCCGGUGAGCAGUUUACCCGCGUGCGUGUGCCUGGCCACUCAGUCGCUGAUCCUCUUGCCCUGGACCUGACCUGGUGUUCGCUGCUUCCCACCCCUCAUUCUCUGCACGGCCGCCCUCACGGUGUGUUCCAAACAGCGAGCUUCUGCGGACCCAAACCGCCCGGGUCGUCUGCUCGAGGGGAAUUGUAGGGAGAGGCUGUGACGGAAGCCAGGUUCUCAGGGAGCAUUUUAGUCUGACUCUGAAAAGAUAGGGAUUGUUUUUUCAACAGCACAGGACUAUGAUCCCGUGUGAAAGUGAACAAUAGUUUAUUUCUUACCGUCA